rnacentral:lncRNA from 1 species
CAUGGUACAUCGAUCUCCUAGCACAUAAGAAUCUAGCCUAACAUAGUUAAAAUAACAAAAUACAUCAGGUUUUGAAUGAAAGGCAUCACCGGGUUAUGAAAUCUUGAAGCUCUUCGUACCAAUCUUCGUUCUUGGCUCAAAAUCCUCUCCAAGAAGUGUUUUUCUGCUCCAAUUACGUUCUGCCUAUUUCUAGUCGUCUUUUGGUAUUGAUAUCGUGUGAAAAUUAGGUUACCAAAAGAAUUUCAGUUAUAUAAGAAAACUGCAGAAUCGGCCCCCAGAAUAUACCUAUGUGACCGCAUAGUACAUUUCUAUGUGGUCGCAUAGAGUAAAAAAAAUUUGAGAAAAAUUUCUCGGGAGGCCUCUAUGAGACUGCGUAGAGGUUUCUACCAUGCGACCGCAUAGUUAUGCGAUUCUUUCUGCCAAAUAGUUUUUAAUAUUUUGGUCAUAACCUUUUUUUCGGAUCUCCGAUUGAAGUGAUUCAAAGUGCAUUGGGAAGAAAACUCAAAGAUCUACACUUUUGAUAGAAAUGGGCUUUCUCAAAUUCUGAUGUUUACGAUGCCAAAAAUGGAUCUCAAGUAGAGACUAAAAAUCACGAGCGUUUUUCACCUGAAAGUUGAUACUUGAUAAUACUUCGAUCAUAUUUCACCUCUUUGACUCCUUUCCUCAUCCGAUUGACCUCUAACACUCUUGAAUCUUCAUUCCCAUUGCCCCGUCUCAUCUAUGAAUUAUUUGCAACUUGGUCCUUGAACUUUCAGUUUCUUCAACUUUAGUCUGUUUUCGCUUGUUUCUUUUAUUUCCAUCAUCUCAUAAUGUCAC